rnacentral:rRNA from 1 species
AUGAACGCUGGCGGCGUGCCUCAUACAUGCAAGUCGCGCGAACAGACGAGGAGCUUGCUCCUCUGACGUUAGCGGCGGACGGGUGAGUAACACGUGGAUAACCUACCUAUAAGACUGGGAUAACUUCGGGAAACCGGAGCUAAUACCGGAUAAUAUAUUGAACCGCAUGGUUCAAUAGUGAAAGACGGUUUUGCUGUCACUUAUAGAUGGAUCCGCGCCGCAUUAGCUAGUUGGUAAGGUAACGGCUUACCAAGGCAACGAUGCGUAGCCGACCUGAGAGGGUGAUCGGCCACACUGGAACUGAGACACGGUCCAGACUCCUACGGGAGGCAGCAGUAGGGAAUCUUCCGCAAUGGGCGAAAGCCUGACGGAGCAACGCCGCGUGAGUGAUGAAGGUCUUCGGAUCGUAAAACUCUGUUAUUAGGGAAGAACAAAUGUGUAAGUAACGAUGCACGUCUUGACGGUACCUAAUCAGAAAGCCACGGCUAACUACGU